rnacentral:rRNA from 1 species
CACGGGGGGGAGCAAGCGUUGUUCGGAAUCACUGGGCGUAAAGGGCGUGUAGGCGGUCAGGUAAGUGGGAUGUGAAAGCCCUCGGCUCACCCGAGGAUCUGCAUCUCAAACUGCCUGGCUUGAGUAUGGGAGAGGAUGAGGGAAUUCCUGGUGUAGCGGUGAAAUGCGUAGAUAUCAGGAGGAACACCGGUGGCGAAGGCGCUCAUCUGGCCCAAUACUGACGCUCAUGCACGAAAGCGUGGGGAGCAAACAGG